GGGUUUUCCCAAACCAGAGCUGGGCGUGGGAGCCACGCUGGCCGUGGGGAAACCUUGUGGCAGCCCCGCCACGGCCACGCGUGUCCCUGCAGGGUGGCAGGGCCAGCCUGGCGUGACAGCAGCUCGUGCCUCAGUUUCCAGGCUGCUUCCCUUCUUACCCAACGCCUGCCCAAGGAUGGAGGAGGAGGAGGAACUCACGAGGGAAUGAGAUUCGUACCUUGAUCUCCUGCAGCAGGAGCAGGAGACAGGAAUGGUUGGCAUGCACACGUGUAAGAGCAAAGAGGACGAAACAUCAGCAGCUGGAGAGUCUGAGAAAUUCCCCAUUUCUCAUCCCUCCAGAUCUGGACGAUCUGCUGCCAGUGACGCUGCUGGGGGAAGUCGGGACUCGGUGGCCUUUCCUUCACCCCAUGUUUGAAGCGAUGGCACUGCUCUCUCAGCAGCCCAGUGCUGAUGACUAACAGUUCCUGGUGAAGCACCAAGUGCUCCGCUUUGUGUUUUUUUUCAAGAUUUUUUUCCUGCUGGCGAGGCGUGAUGUUGGACAUUUCAAAUGUGGGAACCCGGUCAGAGCUCGUGGCGUGACUCACGUCGACCUCAACAGCACUGUCCUUAGGGACACCAACAGGACCUUGGCACUGGAGUCUCAGGAGUGGGCACUGUGGGCUCCAAGUGAGGUUUCCUCAG